UACGUAGGGGGCAAGCGUUGUCCGGAAUCAUUGGGCGUAAAGCGCGUGUAGGCGGGUCGGUAAGUCCGCUCUGAAAGCCCGGGGCUCAACCCCGGGAGGCGGGUGGAUACUGUCGACCUCGAGUCCGGAAGAGGCGAGUGGAAUUCCUGGUGUAGCGGUGAAAUGCGCAGAUAUCAGGAGGAACACCGGUGGCGAAGGCGGUUCUCUGGGCAUUACCUGACGCUGAGGAGCGAAAGCGUGGGGAGCGAACAGG
rnacentral:rRNA from 1 species